rnacentral:rRNA from 1 species
GACAGAGGGUGCAAACGUUGUUCGGAAUUACUGGGCGUAAAGCGUGUGUAGGCGGCCAUGUAAGUCAGGCGUGAAAGCCCCGGGCUCAACCCGGGAAGUGCACUUGAUACUGCGUGGCUUGAGUACUGGAGAGGUUGGUGGAAUUCUCGGUGUAGAGGUGAAAUUCGUAGAUAUCGAGAGGAACACCGGUGGCGAAGGCGGCCAACUGGACAGAUACUGACGCUGAGACACGAAAGCGUGGGGAGCAAACAGG